AGGGUUUGACAUCCCGCGCCACGCUCAGAGAUGGGCGGUCCCCGCAAGGGGCGCGGAGACAGGUGCUGCAUGGCUGUCGUCAGCUCGUGUCGUGAGAUGUUGGGUUAAGUCCCGCAACGAGCGCAACCCUCGCCUUUAGUUGCCAUCAUUCAGUUGGGCACUCUAGAGGGACCGCCGGCGACAAGCCGGAGGAAGGUGGGGAUGACGUCAAGUCCUCAUGGCCCUUACACCCUGGGCUACACACGUGCUACAAUGGCGGUGACAGUGGGCAGCGACCACGCGAGUGGAAGCGAAUCCCAAAAAGCCGUCCCAGUUCAGAUUGUACUCUGCAACUCGAGUACAUGAAGGUGGAAUCGCUAGUAAUCGCAGAACAGCAGGCUGCGGUGAAUACGUUCCCGGGCC
rnacentral:rRNA from 1 species